rnacentral:lncRNA from 1 species
AUGCAGCUUCUGAAUCUUGCUGUGCUGGACACCAGUGGCACCCCUGGACUUCAUAGGUAGGCUGGAACUUGGAUGUGCAUUGGCAGGUCUGCAUUGGCAGACCAGAUGUCACCAUACAGACAACAAUAUCCUACAGGACAGAAAAGCUUGAAAGUAAAAGAAACUUUGGUGUUUGAAUAAACCACACAUUUGUCCUGGACAACCUGCC